GGAACUGCAUUCAAAAGUGACGAGCUAGAGUAUGAUAGAGGGUGGUGGAAUUUCCUGUGUAGCGGUGAAAUGCGUAGAUAUAGGAAGGGACACCAGUGGCGAAGGCGACCAUCUGGACUGAUACUGACACUGAGGUGCGAAAGCGUGGGGAGCAAACAGGAUUAUGUACCCUGGUAGUCCACGGCGUAAACGAUGUCAACUAGCCGUUGGGAGCCUUGAGCUCUUAGUGGCGCAGCUAACGCAGUAAGUUGACCGCCUGGGGAGUACGGCCGCAAGGUUAAAACUCA
rnacentral:rRNA from 1 species